AGCUUUGCGCAGUGGCAGUAUCGUAGCCAAUGAGGUUUAUCCGAGGCGCGAUUAUUGCUAAUAGAAAUAGGGAGAAAUUUUAUGUUUCUAUUUGAAUAGAUAACACGAAGGCAGUAAGUGGAGUUUUUUAGUUUGUUUUUAAGUA